GACGGAGGAUGCAAGCGUUAUCCGGAAUUAUUGGGCGUAAAGCGUCCGCAGGUGGUUAAUCAAGUCUGUUUUCAAAGCGUGGGGCUCAACUCCAUACGGGGAAUGGAAACUGAUGAACUAGAGAUUGGUAGGGGCAGAGGGAAUUCCCAGUGUAGCGGUGAAAUGCGUAGAUAUUGGGAAGAACACCAGUGGCGAAAGCGCUCUGCUGGGCCAAGACUGACACUGAGGGACGAAAGCCAGGGGAGCGAAAGGG
rnacentral:rRNA from 1 species